GUGCGGCCAGGGCUGGCGCGGGGAGUCCCCAGACUCCCCCGCAGUGGGAAGCACCUCUCCCAUUCACGCCGGGCAGGACACCUGGCCGGGCGGGGGAGGCAGCGCAAGGGCCGGCCGGGGAGUACGGGACUCGAGCCGGGGACCUGAGGCAGGAGCCAAGCAUCGUCGCAGGGCAACCAGCAGAACGGAGAGGGAGGCGCGGGGGCGAAGGCUGGCGGGAGCCGCGCUGAGGGCAGGAGCCCGGAGUCCCCUAGGGCAGCGCCGAUCCGCCCGCCCCCUCCCGCCGAGCUGGGCCUCCGUAUGUGGCCUGCGCAGCCAGGGUCGCCAAGCCGCCUGGAAUGGCUCAGGCUUCCAAAAGGAGCAGGCGCCAAAAAGAGCUUUGCCCGCCGGGUGAUGGAGAUGAUGAAACUUUCCAAAGUGACUCUGAGAGCUGAGUAUGUUCCUUUCUACUUAGGAUGGGAAAAAUUCAGUAAGUUACAGUUUUCAAUAAAUCUCUCAGAAGAGUGAUAGGAAGACGGUGAGAAUAUGGACGACGUGGUGUGAAGUCAAGGAAGUUUUGGAGGCCGUCCAUUUUAAUAUGCUUCCUUAUGAUGGAAACCUGGUCUGGGUUGCUCACUACUGAACCUCCUCACACCUGGAGCCGUGCCUGGCACAAGGAGCUUACGUAUCCUCAGAAGAGAAGAAACAGACGAUUGCUGUCUUCAUUUUAGAGACAAAGAACCCGAGGCGUAGAGAGCCAGGAAAUGGAGGUAAUGACUUCUGCCCUGGAGGACUACAUGGCAUCUUCUAUGUUGAAACCACUUUCAAAGUUUUCAAAACUAUACACCCAUCAUGUAUCACUAAUAUAGCUCGAUAUACUACGGAUCACAGUCCUGACUUCAACUGUUAGUGUAAUGUCUCAUCAACACGGAGAACACGUUAUGUGGUGUUUUACUGUCAUGAACCAAACCUAUUUCCCCAGAAAAACUGGCAGAUAUUAGCAUUAAUCUGAUUUUUCAAAGAAGUUAAUUAUUUCCCAGAAUAAGUCACUGUGACUUAUCAAAGGGCCUUGGUUGGUGGGAAGUAAAGCCCAGACUGCAUUCUUGAAGCCGCUAGCCUUUGCCAGCUCAUUGCAAAUUGAGCAACACUGAUGAACCCACAGUUAAUCUGUGGAGUCAAAUGCAACUGGACACAAAUGCCUGGGGAUUUUCCCUGUGAGAUUCUCUUGCCCUUCUGGUGAUGGUGAAGGACAGCGCUACCCAUGGCAGGGGCAGUCACUGGUCUCUGGCAUUUACUUGACCUCAUGGCUGCCAUGAACACCAGGCACAGCCUUUGCAGGAGGCACUGCUGCCUUCAGCCUGCCUGGCCUGGGGGCACAGAGAGGAAAGGGAUAUGGGCUUUUGCAAAAGGCCCCUAGAGCAAAGUCAGACUGAAGGCAAAGCCUUGAGUGCUCGAUGGGCGAGAGAGAUGCUUUUGCUUCAAUUUUUACUGAGUAAUGAGGCGUACUGAGCAAAAUACACUUGUCCUUGGAAUGUGAGGCACACACGUGGCAGGCAUAAAGUUAUAAAAAGGAGGAGCUCCUUAGUCUGCUGAACUUAAAGACUUAUCUUGCCUUCCUGCUGUUAAUUCUUUACAGAGACUUCCUCUUCUCCAUUUCCCAGGGUUUUCCAUGGGGAUGUGCUUGAGGGAGAAUGGGCAGUUUAAGAGAAAAGAAUUCCUCCAGAGUGGGUUGUGGAGAGCACUGGAGAAGGUCUGGGCUGGAGCUAGAGAUUUACCUUGGCUAAAGAUAAGAGUCUGUGGUGUAUAUACACAAUGGAAUACCAUUCAGCCUUGAAAAAGAAGGAAAUAUGUCAUCAGAGGCAACAUGGAUGAACCUAGAAGACAUUAUGCUAAGUGAAAUAAGCCAGGUACGGAAAUACAAAUACUGCAUGACCUCACUUACAUACGGAAUCUUAAAAAGUCAAACUCAUAGAAGCAAAGGGCAGAAUAGUGUUUAUCAGGGGCUGGGGGUAGGGGUGGUGAGAUGGAGAUUGAAGAGAAAAAACCCCUUUGAAAAUGAUCCAUCAGAAACACUCAUUUGUGAUUUCCCCACAAUUGUGGUGCUCCAGGGAACCUUAAUGAUCAGUUACUGAGCCCUUAUUAUAUUCCUGGCUUUGUGCUAAGCCUCACUCACGUUCCCAACAGUCCUAUAAGAUAUUUUAAGUAUUACAAUCCCCAUUUAUAAGGGGCGAAUGGAGCUUGAAGCCAUGGAGUAUGUAGGGGAAGGCGUGCUGCUGGUAAGUAACACAGCUUCAGCCUUCUCUGAUCCUGGGGCCCCUCUCAUCUGUGAGCUCCUGCUCCCGUGCCCCCUGCCCAUCUUCCUAGGCUGGGGCUAGGGCUUGUCAAGCUGUACCCCGCCAGGCGGGGAUAUACAGGCACCUCAGGAGCUUGUCUCCAGCUGUCUGGACACCAGAUCCCUACUGCCCCAUUCAUAUCCUGAGGUCAACAGGUCAGUGUAGGGUGUCAUUCUCUAUUGCUACAUUUCCCAGAGAGCAGAGAUAGCAAAAUGUCUCAACACAAAGAUUAUGUAUUUCACUAAGCAAUUAUAAUUUCAACUAAAAUCAGCUGGGUGCAGUGGCUCACGCCUGUAAUCCCAGGACUUUGGGAGCCAGUGGUGGGUGGAUCACAAGGUCAGGAGAUCGAGACCAUCCUGGCUAACACGGUGAAACCCCGUCUCUACUAAAAAUACAAAAAAUUAGCUGGUCGUGGUGGCGGGCACCUGUAGUCCCAGCUGUUCGGGAGGCUGAGGUAGGAGAAUGGCAUGAACCCAGGAGGCGGAGCUUGCAGUGAGCCGAGAUAGCGCCACUGCACUCCAGCCUGGGAGAAAGAGCGAGAAUCCAUCUCAAAAAAAAAAAAAAAAAUUUCAACUAAAAUUUUUCCCUGCCUAAAUCCGAUUUAAGCAAAUGUAAAAAGUACUAUUUUAAAAAGUCAGGCUUAAUGGGCUGGAAAAUUUUUCA